rnacentral:rRNA from 1 species
ACGGAAGGCAGCAGUGGGGAAUAUUGCACAAUGGGCGCAAGCCUGAUGCAGCGAUGCCGCGUGAGGGAAGAAGGUUUUCGGAUUGUAAACCUCUGUCAUCGGGGACGAUAAUGACUGUACCCGAGAAGGAAGCUCCGGCUAACUACGUGCCAGCAGCCGCGGUAAUACGUAGGGAGCGAGCGUUAUCCGGAAUUACUGGGUGUAAAGGGAGUGUAGGCGGGACUGUAAGUCAGAUGUGUAAUAUGCCGGCUCAACUGGCAAACUGCAUUUGAAACUGCGGUUCUUGAGUGAAGUAGAAGUAAGCGGAAUUCCUAGUGUAGCGGUGAAAUGCAUAGAUAUUAGGGGAAACAUCAGUGGCGAAAGCGGCCUACUGGGCUUUAACUGACGCUGAGGCUCGAAAGCGUGGGGAGCAAACAGGAUUAGAUACCCUGGUA